UGAGGAGCGAAAGGGUGGGGAGCAAACAGGCUUAGAUACCCUGGUAGUCCACCCCGUAAACGUUGGGAAUUAGUUGUGGGGUCCUUUCCACGGAUUCCGUGACUCAGCUAAAGCAUUAAGUUCCCCGCCUGGGGAGUACGGCCGCAAGGCUAAAACUCAAAGGAAUUGACGGGGACCCGCACAAGCGGCGGAGCAUGCGGAUUAAUUCGAUGCAACGCGAAGAACCUUACCAAGGCUUGACAUACACGAGAACACUCUAGAAAUAGGGGACUCUUUGGACACUCGUGAACAGGUGGUGCAUGGUUGUCGUCAGCUCGUGUCGUGAGAUGUUGGGUUAAGUCCCGCAACGAGCGCAACCCUCGUUCUAUGUUGCCAGCACGUAAUGGUGGGAACUCAUGGGAUACUGCCGGGGUCAACUCGGAGGAAGGUGGGGAUGACGUCAAAUCAUCAUGCCCCUUAUGUCUUGGGCUUCACGCAUGCUACAAUGGCCGGUACAAAGGGCUGCAAUACCGUGAGGUGGAGCGAAUCCCAAAAAGCCGGUCCCAGUUCGGAUUGAGGUCUGCAACUCGACCUCAUGAAGUCGGAGUCGCUAGUAAUCGCAGAUCAGCAACGCUGCGGUGAAUACGUUCCCGGGUCUUGUACACACCGCCCGUCAAGUCAUGAAAGUCGGUAACACCUGAAGCCGGUGGCCCAACCCUUGUGGAGGGAGCCGUCGAAGGUGGGAUCGGUAAUUAGGACUAAGUCG
rnacentral:rRNA from 1 species